rnacentral:rRNA from 1 species
GUGGGGAAUAUUGGACAAUGGGUGCAAGCCUGAUCCAGCCAUGCCGCGUGAGUGAUGAAGGCCUUAGGGUUGUAAAGCUCUUUCACCGAUGAAGAUAAUGACGGUAGUCGGAGAAGAAGCCCCGGCUAACUUCGUGCCAGCAGCCGCGGUAAUACGAAGGGGGCUAGCGUUGUUCGGAUUUACUGGGCGUAAAGCGCACGUAGGCGGUUUGUUAAGUCAGGGGUGAAAUCCCGGAGCUCAACUCCGGAACUGCCUUUGAUACUGGCAAGCUAGAGUCCGGAAGAGGUAAGUGGAACUCCUAGUGUAGAGGUGGAAUUCGUAGAUAUUAGGAAGAACACCAGUGGCGAAGGCGGCUUACUGGUCCGGAACUGACGCUGAGGUGCGAAAGCGUGGGGAGCAAACAGGAUUAGAUACCCCUGUAGUCC